ensembl:lncRNA
CACAGUUUGUAUGUAGGUUUAAUUAAAAUCUUCAUUUAAAAUGCAUUUUGCGUUUGCUUGUGUUGUCUUUGACUAUUAUUUACUUUUAUGUGAGGAUAUGAAACAUUAAAACAUCUGAAAUCAUGAAGGGGGAACACUUUUUCACACCACAAAGUGAAAUAGACGAUUUAUCUGUUUUUAGCAACAUAGCAAAUUUAAGCAGGGGGGCAACUUUUUUAAAAAUAAUUUUGUACAUAUAUUUUCGGACUUCUAUUUAUUCUAAUUUUACAUUCAUUUUAGUGAUGAGUGUUUAUUUAGAAGUGCUAAUGCCAGUGUGAUUUGUUAAUAUGCUUUGAGGAACUGAUGAGCGUAUUUGCAUCAUCUUGCAUUUUUUUCACAUUAACGAGUCCCUCUGACUUGGUGAAAACAAGAAGGUCCACGGAGAGUUCUAUGGGCACCCUCUCGAGCCUAACUUGCUCCUCUUUGCUCCUCUUUGGACCUUCUGGUCCUUCUUUAAAAACGCAGACACGCGCUCUGCUCUUCUCCUAAGCAUGAGCUCAUCCAACUCCAGCGCGAGAUUCAUCCCCCUUUCUGUCGACUUCACCCUCCCUGAACAUUAUCUCAUAUACGCUUUUCACAUCACCUUCGCCACGUGCGCCUCCGUGCUGGCCGGCUCGGUGCUCGUGGGCAUUCUGAGAGACAGAACUCUGCGCGCGCAGAACAGGUUCGUUUUCAUGAUCAACACGAGCAUCUGCGACACACUGACGGGUCUGUCCGUCUUUUAUCUGGGUCUGUUUGAUGUGCAGGAGGGAUACCCAUCCAGAAACGGGACCUUCCUCAUCCUGCCCUCUCUGUUAGGAGUGAACAUCAUCACCUUCAUGUUCUCUCAGUUUGAUCGUUACUGCGCGGUGUGUCACCCUUUCUUCUACAACCGCUACAUCUCCAGAUCUGUGGUGAUCGGGGUCUGCGUUUACCCCUGGGUUCACGUUUACGCGCAGCUGGUUGCAACUAGUAUCGUGCCUCUGGUUAACGCCGCCCAGAUCUACGCCUUCAGCAUAGCCUGCCUGCAGAUCAUAGUGGUGACCAAGGUGGUGAUGACGGUCAAGCUGUACCUGGUGGCUGAGUCUCAGCUGAAGCGCGAUCCUCCGGGAGCGGAAAGGGACGGUAAGAAGGAGUCUCUGCGCAUCAUCAUAGUGGUGGUCAUCCUCUUCCUGACUCUCUGGAUGCCGUCCUUCGUCAACAUCAUCCUGAGGCAGGUGAGCAGGUCCGGUCUGGUCUUCAGGAACGAGGCCACCAACGCUUUCGCCAUCAUGGCGCGGCUGAACGCGGUCAGCACCCCCGCGGUCUACCUGUGGGGCAGCCCUGCGCUGCGCGCGGCCGUGUGGCGCGCGGGCUGGAGCAAAGUCCUACCUGAGUGGACAAGAUCCAGUCAGAAAAACACCACCUAGAAGCAAUAAGUGAAGACUGCAUCGCCUACUUUUUAUAACAUCAUUAUUAAAGUGUCUGCAAACCACUUCAGACUUUAUGUACUCUCUGGCAGUAUAAACGUUGCCUGCUGCUAUUUUUUGUUUGUUUAUUAAAUGGCACUUGUUUGAUGUUGGUGUAAAUACAUCUGUGAAUCUUAUAUCACGCAGGACUAUAUUAUAAUUAUAUUAUUAUAUGAGGAUCUUGCCCAUUUUACAGAAAGUUUGUAAUAACUAAUAUAUAUAACCACUUUACAUUAACCCUAAUUAAAGACGUUUUUGGGUUUAAAUGUACAGGCACGUCACACUUAGAACGAUUGAUUGUACAGUCAAUAACACUUUUAUUCAAGCAAAAAUGUGUCCCAUAGAGCAAUCAAUAUUUCACAAAGCUACGGUGCAUUUUUUUAUCUUGCGUUACAACUAAAAAUCAUGGUACCUCUUUUGCCCAACUUGUUUCUUGCUCAUUCAACUAAUAUUUGUAUUGCUCAGACUUUUUAUUGAAUCAACUUGAAAAAAGUUAAACUAUGUUAAACUGGUUUGUAAAAUGAUGUAAAGUAAAAAUAAGUCUUUUGCUAAAUGUUUGUACAUAUUUGGAUUUAGUUUGAA